rnacentral:rRNA from 1 species
AUUGAACGCUGGCGGCAGGCCUAACACAUGCAAGUCGAACGAGUGGCGGACGGGUGAGUACUGUCUGGGAAACUGCCUGAUGGAGGGGGAUAACUACUGGAAACGGUAGCUAAUACCGCAUACCAUCGGAUGUGCACAGAUGGGAUUAGCUAGUAGGUGGGGUAACGGCGCACCUAGGCGACGAUCCCUAGCUGGUCUGAGAGGAUGACCAGCGACACUGGAACUGAGACACGGUCCAGACUCCUACGGGGUGCAGCAGUGGGGAAUAUUGCGCAAUGGGCGCAAGCCUGAUGCAGCCAGGCCGCGUGUAUGAAGAAGGCCUUCUGUUUGUAAAGUACUUUCAGCGGGGAGGCGUUACCCGCAGAAGAAGCACCGGCUAACUCCGUGCCAGCAGCCGCGGUAAUUC